rnacentral:misc_RNA from 1 species
CCUAGAUUAUGCCACUUGGGCAUUUACCACCAUCAGCUAUACAUUUCAUGAGUCUAUUGCCUUAGCCUAGAAUUUUGUCGAACCUGUAGUGCUAAAAACCCCAGGCCAUGAAAUUAACAGGUGCAAGGCGCCCAAAGGUGCUUCUAGAUAUUAAUUUUAUUGUUUAUGUAGUUGUCUAUAUACUGUGCAAUGGGAAUGAAAAGAAAUUAAACAGAGGAAAAGAAAAGAAAUAAGUUUUCCAUUAUAAUGUUUGGUUACCUAAUGUGAGGAAGUGGGUAGAAAAGAAAAGAAGUAAGUUUAUAAAGUUUAUUUUACUGUUGUACCCUUAUCAUGUAGCCUUUUACUAUUUAUAUGGUGUAAGGGUAUAUUCGUAACUUUGACCUCUAAAAUUUUUUUACUUUCUCAUUUUCCUCCUUUCAAUCCAAAUUUAUUGGAAAUUUUUUGAGGUUUGGAGGGAAAUCAGAAAAUCUAAUUUCUAUUGUUUUCCACUCUUUUCCUCUCUCUAAUUGAUGUCCAAACAAAAGAAAAUAGAAAAAUGAUGUUUCUUUGCUUCUCUUUUCCAUCCACUUCCCUCAAAAUAAACAAAGCAUUAAAGUUACAUUUGGUAGAGCGUAAUGUAAUGCAAUAUAAUCAAUUAUCUAAUGCAAUCAAAUUAUAUUGUAAUGUGAUGUAAUUGUUAUCACAUUCAUCUGUUUGAUUGCAAAAUAAAAAUAUGA